CUCAUUCGGAUCGGAGUCUGNAACCCGACUCCGUGAAGCUGGAUUCGCUAGUAAUCGCGCAUCAGCCAUGGCGCGGUGAAUACGUUCCCGGGCCUUGUACACACCGCCCGUCAAGCCAUGGAAGCCGGGAGUGCCUGAAGUAUGCAACCGCAAGGAGCGUCCUAAGGUAAAACCGGUGACUGGGGCUAAGUCGUAACAAGGUAGC
rnacentral:rRNA from 1 species